rnacentral:misc_RNA from 1 species
GAGAGCAUUAUGCCAUUCAGGGGUUGGUAUUUGGAAGAAUGCAUAGCUCCUCUUGUUGAUAUCUAUCCUGUCGGUUGACAUCAGAUUUAAAAUCAAUAAAUUUUCCAUAUGCAAUAUUACAAAUUACAAAGACCUUAUAGGGGUUGGUACUUGGAAGCAUGCAUAGCUCAUCUUAUUGAUAUCUAUCCUGCUGCUUGACGUAGGAUUUAAAACCAAUAAAAUUUUUGUAAACAAUAUUAC